rnacentral:rRNA from 1 species
UAUACAUGCAGUCGAGCGGACAGAAGGGAGCUUGCUCCCGGAUGUUAGCGGCGGACGGGUGAGUAACACGUGGGUAACCUGCCUGUAAGACUGGGAUAACUCCGGGAAACCGGAGCUAAUACCGGAUAGUUCCUUGAACCGCAUGGUUCAAGGAUGAAAGACGGUUUCGGCUGUCACUUACAGAUGGACCCGCGGCGCAUUAACUAGUUGGUGAGGUAACGGCUCACCAAGGCGACGAUGCGUAGCCGACCUGAGAGGGUGAUCGGCCACACUGGGACUGAGACACGGCCCAGACUCCUACGGGAGGCAGCAGUAGGGAAUCUUCCGCAAUGGACGAAAGUCUGACGGAGCAACGCCGCGUGAGUGAUGAAGGUUUUCGGAUCGUAAAGCUCUGUUGUUAGGGAAGAACAAGUGCAAGAGUAACUGCUUGCACCUUGACGGUACCUAACCAGAAAGCCACGGCUAACUACGUGCCAGCAGCCGCGGUAAUACGUAGGUGGCAAGCGUUGUCCGGAAUUAUUGGGCGUAAAGGGCUCGCAGGCGGUUUCUUAAGUCUGAUGUGAAAGCCCCCGGCUCAACCGGGGAGGGUCAUUGGAAACUGGGAAACUUGAGUGCAGAAGAGGAGAGUGGAAUUCCACGUGUAGCGGUGAAAUGCGUAGAGAUGUGGAGGAACACCAGUGGCGAAGGCGACUCUCUGGUCUGUAACUGACGCUGAGGAGCGAAAGCGUGGGGAGCGAACAGGAUUAGAUACCCUGGUAGUCCACGCCGUAAACGAUGAGUGCUAAGUGUUAGGGGGUUUCCGCCCCUUAGUGCUGCAGCUAACGCAUUAAGCACUCCGCCUGGGGAGUACGGUCGCAAGACUGAAACUCAAAGGAAUUGACGGGGGCCCGCACAAGCGGUGGAGCAUGUGGUUUAAUUCGAAGCAACGCGAAAAACCUUACCAGGUCUUGACAUCCUCUGACAACCCUAGAGAUAGGGCUUUCCCUUCGGGGACAGAGUGACAGGUGGUGCAUGGUUGUCGUCAGCUCGUGUCGUGAGAUGUUGGGUUAAGUCCCGCAACGAGCGCAACCCUUGAUCUUAGUUGCCAGCAUUCAGUUGGGCACUCUAAGGUGACUGCCGGUGACAAACCGGAGGAAGGUGGGGAUGACGUCAAAUCAUCAUGCCCCUUAUGACCUGGGCUACACACGUGCUACAAUGGACAGAACAAAGGGCUGCGAGACCGCAAGGUCUAGCCAAUCCCACAAAUCUGUUCUCAGUUCGGAUCGCAGUCUGCAACUCGACUGCGUGAAGCUGGAAUCGCUAGUAAUCGCGGAUCAGCAU